CAUUAUUAUUCCCUUCUCUCUCUCUUCUCCUCCACACGCUUCUCUCUCUACCUUUCUCAACAAUUUUCCCUUCUCAUCUCUCUCUCUUGAUUUUCCAGCUUCCUCCACCUUCACCUUCACGUUCAUCUUCUUUAUUUUCACUUUUCAUCGUUCUUUUGUUUUUCUGGCCCCUGCUUCAUUAUUCCUCACCUUGAUCCACAUCCUCAAAACUGAUUCAAUUUCCACAAACAAUUCGAACCAGGGAUUCAUUCUUACCUUUCUCUCUGUUCCAAUUCUUUUAAUUCUCACAAAUUCAGAUAUCCUUCAUUAUGCUUAUCUCAACCAUUCUGAGAUUCUGUUGUUGAUGAAAUCACAAGGUUCUUAA